rnacentral:rRNA from 1 species
UACAGAGGGUGCAAGCGUUGUUCGGAAUUACUGGGCGCAAAGCGUGCGUAGUCGGUAUUGAGAGUCACGGGUGAAAUCCCAAGGCUUAACCUUGGAACUGCCUGUGAGACCUCAGUACUAGAGUGUGAGAGGGGAUAGUGGAAUACCCAGUGUGAGCGGUGAAAUGCGUAGAGAUUGGGUGGAACACCGGUGGCGGAAGGCGGCUAUCUGGCUCA